rnacentral:rRNA from 1 species
GGCUGGCGGCGUUCCCUUUCCUUGCAAGUCCGAACCGCCUUUCUUUUCCUUCCCGAGUGCUUUGCACUACAAUUGGAAAGAGGAGUGGCGGACGGGUGAGUAACACGUGGGUAACCUACCCAUCAGAGGGGGAUAACACUUGGAAACAGGUGCUAAUACCGCAUAACAGUUUAUGCCGCAUGGCAUAAGAGUGAAAGGCGCUUUCGGGUGUCGCUGAUGGAUGGACCCGCGGUGCAUUAGCUAGUUGGUGAGGUAACGGCUCACCAAGGCCACGAUGCAUAGCCGACCUGAGAGGGUGAUCGGCCACACUGGGACUGAGACACGGCCCAGACUCCUACGGGAGGCAGCAGUAGGGAAUCUUCGGCAAUGGACGAAAGUCUGACCGAGCAACGCCGCGUGAGUGAAGAAGGUUUUCGGAUCGUAAAACUCUGUUGUUAGAGAAGAACAAGGACGUUAGUAACUGAACGUCCCCUGACGGUAUCUAACCAGAAAGCCACGGCUAACUACGUGCCAGCAGCCGCGGUAAUACGUAGGUGGCAAGCGUUGUCCGGAUUUAUUGGGCGUAAAGCGAGCGCAGGCGGUUUCUUAAGUCUGAUGUGAAAGCCCCCGGCUCAACCGGGGAGGGUCAUUGGAAACUGGGAGACUUGAGUGCAGAAGAGGAGAGUGGAAUUCCAUGUGUAGCGGUGAAAUGCGUAGAUAUAUGGAGGAACACCAGUGGCGAAGGCGGCUCUCUGGUCUGUAACUGACGCUGAGGCUCGAAAGCGUGGGGAGCAGACAGGAUUAGAUACCCUGGUAGUCCACGCCGUAAACGAUGAGUGCUAAGUGUUGGAGGGUUUCCGCCCUUCAGUGCUGCAGCAAACGCAUUAAGCACUCCGCCUGGGGAGUACGACCGCAAGGUUGAAACUCAAAGGAAUUGACGGGUGCCCGCACAAGCGGAGGAGCAUGUGGUUUAUUUCUAAGCAACGCGAAGAACCUUACCAGGUCUUGACAUCCUUUGACCACUCUAGAGAUAGAGCUUUCCCUUUCGCGGACAAAGUGACAAGAU